rnacentral:lncRNA from 1 species
GUUUUGAUUGGACUUCUCUGGAUCUUGUAGCCAGGCUAAGUCUCUACAACUCUCGUGUUAGUAAAUACUGUGGCAUUUCUGUUACAAAAUAGAAUCAACAUAUUUUUUUCCCCUCCCAAGGCAGCUGCUACACAUGAGAAACACAGAGAAAUGAUUUUACUUCCUUCCUACCCACAAGCCUAAUGGCAAAGUUGCUUAGCAGAUUUUUUUUUUUUUUUUUUACCCCAAGAGUUUGCAGCUGUUUCUGCCCUUCCUAUUGUGCUGCUGGUCAGCUUAGGCUGGGAACACAAGCUAUAGCCCCAGCUGUUGGGUGCAAAGUGAAUCAGGUAUUUCACAGUGGUUAUUUGAUUAGAAAGAAUUAUAUUGUUUAGCUAACAAUAGUCUGUGCAUGGCAGAGGAGACAUCUUGGGCAUGUUGCUAACUUUUAAACAAGUGUAUAACGUGUCCCAUGCAGGUGCCCGGGAGUCUGAAUAGAACGAUGUGCACGUGCACCCAGAGCUGAGCCUAGAUCCCUGGAAACAGCGCAGUAAUAGAAUUCAAAAGCGGUUUUGGUUUGUGCGAUCACUCUCUUGGGAUGCUUUGAAGUAGAUCACGAAGCAGUCUUUUUAGAUAGCAGAAGUAAACACGGGGAGUUUGUGUCCUUCCAGGGAAACCUAGCCCAGUGAGCAGGGCCAUGUGGGAGAACAGCGGAUUCUCGUGAAGAUCAUAGGACUAAUCACAGGGAUUGCCAGCGUCUCCCCUUCUGAGCUCCUCAUCUAAUCUACAUCUAAACAAUGCUUGCUUGAUUUUUUUUUUCUUACAGCACUUGUAUAAGGCCUUUAAUCUCUAAAUGCAAAGCAUUGCUAUUAAAAUAUUUGUGCAUGACUUUCAGGCUGGACAGAGUCGAUAUGGAUCAGGGAUGGGGGUGGGGACCAGAGGCCUUUCCAAGGCCUGCUUCAAACUCAACUCACAGACAAUUGCUGUGUAGCAAAUAGUACACGGUUAGCAGUGUCUACCGCCUGGGCACAAUCACAGCUACCAUCAAGCUCUUUGGUACCACUCUGGCCUUUCGGCAUCAUCCAACUCCUUUCCUGUUCUGGUACCUUCAUUGAUGUUAAAGCUCAUUAUUUUCCCUUCUGGUCUUAUCGGGACUAGUUGAGUCUAGCAAGAAACUAAAGAGGAAAGAUGUCGUUUGGUCAUGAUUAUUCUUUAUGGCCAUCACUUAAAGGAUCACGUUGGUAAGGUGAGAGUAAUCACUCCCUUUCCGUAAACCCCGUUCAUUUCCUCACCUCCUACCAUUCGAUUGCAUGGGGCUUCUAGACCCUCAUCUGGCGUGCCAUAUCAGGGCCUUCCAUCUGUGAGUAAUGACAUGCGCAUGUUGAGAAUUACUGUUGUUUUCUAAUAGGUAGAUGCAACCAUAUUACUCCAAAAAGGGAGCAUUAAAUUGAGAUGCAUCGGAAUGAAGAUUAAACUCAAACAUUGUUUCUCUUUAGGGAUUAUUAAUUGACACAUCUCUUAUAAAAUAUUCACAAAAGCAUCAUUAAAAAAUGUCAUUUAAAAUGAAAAAUACAGCACUGACCUAGAUAUAGACCUACCUAAUGAAUGUUAGCACUAGAAUCUUUUUCUUUUUUUGAAGAAAACAUGUGUAUUGAGUUCAGAAGCUUCCUUCUUUGUGCUACGCAAGAACUUACUGUAAAUAAGAAUCUCAAGGUCAUGCCCACAGCUAAACUUUUUAAGCUGGGUUCUUAAAAUUAACGUAUACAUGCUCUUGAAAGGCAUAUAUUUUGUUCGCUAUCAAAUCACAGAAAUUUAAAGCAUCAUAAAUAUUUGAAAGCCUGGGAAGAUGUGGAAUUUUGUUUGUUUUGCUUGUGGAUAACAAAGAGAAAGUAAAAUUUAUUUCAAUGGAUGCUUUGUAG